rnacentral:lncRNA from 13 species
AUGUCCCAAACACAGUGUAAUUUUUUGUAUUAAAAAUAUUUAAUUUUUCCCCUUAUUUUGAUUUAAUAUCGAAAAAGCACCCUAAUUUUCGAUCGAAAAUUCUGACGUCAAAAUAUCUGCCUUUUUAAAAAAGUCAGUGUGCUUUUUGUUCAUUGCAAUCUCUACUUUCUGAUGGUGUAAAAAAAAUAUACAUUACUGUGGCAAAUUUUCGCAGAAAAUGCAAAAGACCGAAAACACUCGAAUUCAAAAAAUUGUUUUUUAAUCAUUAUGUAAAAUUUUGAGCUAUUUAUUAAAAUUUACACUUUAAUUACUCGAAAAACGUAAGAUUCGAUGCUACAUCGAUAAACUAAAAAAUUGCAAAUCAAAAUAUACUAUUAUAAUUAACAACCAAAUAAGUUAAUAAAGUUAAUACUUUAUAAGACAUCUACAAUAUUUUGAGAAAGUUGUAGGAUCUUCUUUGAAUUAUAUGCGUCGGUACCUAUUUAUUGCUAUUUUAAGGUAACUUAUAUACCUGAAUGGCCUACGGAAAAUUUUAGUUCAUCAGAAGGUAUUUCAUAGAGAAGUGGGGAAGGGACUAGGAGGGUCUGUGCCUUACUACCUGUUGAUCAUUUCGUAGCAGCUGCAAAAACCGUUAGCCAGUAUUCGAGAUACAGAGCAGUGAACAACAUCGUUCAUAAGAAUACACGUGCAGGCUGAGUUAUUUGAAGAUAAUCGUGACAAAUUUACUUCCUUAAAAGGGGAAGGUUCCGAUAGCGCACAGUACUAUUGCACACAAGCCACUCACAACCACUCAUAGCGCUUGAACAGAAGAAUAUCACUAGGCACCAGCCGCUGUAAUUGGCUGUGUGCAAUAGUACUGUGCGCUAUCGGUAUCUUCCCCCUUAAAAGAAACUUUUGGAAUCUACAUAGCAAGAUUAUCAGUAUGGAUGAAUCUGUUUGUAUAAUUUGCAAUAAAGCAGAUGAUAAGCAAGUGUAUGAAAUAAAAAAAACAGCUUUGAAUCGUUUAGUGGGGUCUAGCAAGAAAAGAAUCGACAAUAAAUAUAAAAAAUUUGAGACUUUAACAACAGCCUUUAUUCAUCGAACUUGUCAAAGUCAAUAUAAUGAUGAGACUGCAAUUACUACAUUCCGUACUUCAAGACGGAGAAAAUCACAGGAAGGAAAAGAAAUAAAUAAACACGCUCUUACAUUUAAUUUCCAAUCUCAUUGCUUUCUCUGCGGUGGGUUUUUCGGUAAUAUUUCAAAA